CCUACGGGUGGCAGCAGUGAGGAAUAUUGGACAAUGGACGAGAGUCUGAACCAGCGAAGUAGCGUGAAGGAUGACUGCCCUCUGGGUUGUAAACUUUUUUUAUAUGGGAAUAAAACAGGGUAUGCAUACCCUCUUGUAUGUACAAUAAGAAUAAGGAUCGGCUUACUCCGUCCCAGCAGCCGCGGUAAUACGGAGGGUCCGAGUGUUAUCCGGAUUUAGUGGGUUUAAAGGGAGCGUAGGUGGAUUGUUAAGUCAGUUGUGAAAGUUUGCGGCUCAACCGUAAAAGUGCAGUUGAAACUGGCAGUCUUGAGUACAGUAGAGGUGAGCGGAAUUCGUGGUGUAGCGGUGAAAUGCUUAGAUAUCACGAAGAACUCCGGUUGCGAAGGCAGCUCACUGGACUGCAACUGACACUGAUGCUCGAAAGUGUGGGUAUCAAACAGGAUUAGAUACCCCGGUAGUC
rnacentral:rRNA from 1 species